CCUACGGGAGGCAGCAGUAGGGAAUCUUCGGCAAUGGACGAAAGUCUGACCGAGCAACGCCGCGUGAGUGAAGAAGGUUUUCGGAUCGUAAAACUCUGUUGUUAGAGAAGAACAAGGAUGAGAGUAACUGUUCAUCCCUUGACGGUAUCUAACCAGAAAGCCACGGCUAACUACGUGCCAGCAGCCGCGGUAAUACGUAGGUGGCAAGCGUUGUCCGGAUUUAUUGGGCGUAAAGCGAGCGCAGGCGGUUUCUUAAGUCUGAUGUGAAAGCCCCCGGCUCAACCGGGGAGGGUCAUUGGAAACUGGGAGACUUGAGUGCAGAAGAGGAGAGUGGAAUUCCAUGUGUAGCGGUGAAAUGCGUAGAUAUAUGGAGGAACACCAGUGGCGAAGGCGGCUCUCUGGUCUGUAACUGACGCUGAGGCUCGAAAGCGUGGGGAGC
rnacentral:rRNA from 1 species